rnacentral:rRNA from 1 species
GCUUGCUACCUGACCUAGCGGCGGACGGGUGAGUAAUGCUUAGGAAUCUGCCUAUUAGUGGGGGACAACAUUCCGAAAGGAAUGCUGAUACCGCAUACGCCCUACGGGGGAAAGCAGGGGAUCUUCGGACCUUGCGCUAAUAGAUGAGCCUAAGUCAGAUUAGCUAGUUGGUGGGGUAAAGGCCUACCAAGGCGACGAUCUGUAGCGGGUCUGAGAGGAUGAUCCGCCACACUGGGACUGAGACACGGCCCAGACUCCUACGGGAGGCAGCAGUGGGGAAUAUUGGACAAUGGGCGAAAGCCUGAUCCAGCCAUGCCGCGUGUGUGAAGAAGGCCUUUUGGUUGUAAAGCACUUUAAGCGAGGAGGAGGCUACUUGGAUUAAUACUCUAGGAUAGUGGACGUUACUCGCAGAAUAAGCACCGGCUAACUCUGUGCCAGCAGCCGCGGUAAUACAGAGGGUGCGAGCGUUAAUCGGAUUUACUGGGCGUAAAGCGUGCGUAGGCGGCUUUUUAAGUCGGAUGUGAAAUCCCUGAGCUUAACUUAGGAAUUGCAUUCGAUACUGGGAAGCUAGAGUAUGGGAGAGGAUGGUAGAAUUCCAGGUGUAGCGGUGAAAUGCGUAGAGAUCUGGAGGAAUACCGAUGGCGAAGGCAGCCAUCUGGCCUAAUACUGACGCUGAGGUACGAAAGCAUGGGGAGCAAACAGGAUUAGAUACCCUGGUAGUCCAUGCCGUAAACGAUGUCUACUAGCCGUUGGGGCCUUUGAGGCUUUAGUGGCGCAGCUAACGCGAUAAGUAGACCGCCUGGGGAGUACGGUCGCAAGACUAAAACUCAAAUGAAUUGACGGGGGCCCGCACAAGCGGUGGAGCAUGUGGUUUAAUUCGAUGCAACGCGAAGAACCUUACCUGGUCUUGACAUAGUAAGAACUUUCCAGAGAUGGAUUGGUGCCUUCGGGAACUUACAUACAGGUGCUGCAUGGCUGUCGUCAGCUCGUGUCGUGAGAUGUUGGGUUAAGUCCCGCAACGAGCGCAACCCUUUUCCUUAUUUGCCAGCGGGUUAAGCCGGGAACUUUAAGGAUACUGCCAGUGACAAACUGGAGGAAGGCGGGGACGACGUCAAGUCAUCAUGGCCCUUACGACCAGGGCUACACACGUGCUACAAUGGUCGGUACAAAGGGUUGCUACCUAGCGAUAGGAUGCUAAUCUCAAAAAGCCGAUCGUAGUCCGGAUUGGAGUCUGCAACUCGACUCCAUGAAGUCG